GACAGAGGUGCCAAGCGUUUAGGCGGAAUCACUGGGCUUAAAGCGUGUGUAGGCGGAUUUGUAAGUACCUUGUGAAAUCCCACGGCUCAACCGUGGAACUGCUCGGUAUACUGCUUAUCUUGAGCCACUUAGGGGCUACCGGAACAAAUGGUGGAGCGGUGAAAUGCGUAGAUAUCGGGAGGAACACCGGUGGCGAAGGCGGCUCUCUGGGCCUGUCCGUGACGCUCAGGCGCGAAAGCUAGGGGAGCAAACGGG
rnacentral:rRNA from 1 species